rnacentral:lncRNA from 1 species
UUUCUUUUCACUUGUGUUGAGUUAUCUAACUCUUCUAAGUCAUCAUCCUUUUUUUUCCAAAUUAUCAAAAGAAUCACGAGGUUGAACCUUUUGCACUAUGUGCCAACCUUUAUUGGAAUGAUCGAUAGCAUAAAAUACUUGUGAUGCUUGGCUAGCUAAUGCAAAUGGUUCAUUUAUUUUCAAAUAUCACCGACGGUUAACACUUACAAAGCCAUAUUCAUCCAUUUUAACUCCCCUCUUUUGAUCAUACAUAUCAAACCACAUACAUCGGAAUAAAAUCACUCUUCUUCCCCAACAAAUUGUAAUUCAAGAACCUCGGUUAACUCGCCAUAGUAAUCCAUAUGGUUUUGCUCUUCACCGGUCUCACCUACUACAACCACUCCACAAUUUUGAGUUUUCAAAUAUUGAUC